rnacentral:other from 1 species
GGUGUGCUGCCCGGUGCGUUAGGUCACCAAGUCCCGGGGGCGAUACUCUGCGAAACGGGAGCUGUCCCUGCCGGUGCCCCUCGGGCAUCGGUAGCACGGCACCCACUUGGUCUAUUCGGCCCGCAGGGAAUGGAAACGGCCGACGGCCGGCGCGGCACACCC